AAUGAUAAAGUAAAAUGGCGGAUUAAAACAGUUGAAGCGGUGAUAAAGGUAAGGAAGUAGGUAUAUUGACGAAGUGUGCCUGGAUCUUCACACUUCUAUAUUGUACUACUACAUUACUAACAUAUAGAAGCAUGAGUUAGCACAGGUGACUGCCGCCAUGUGUGCUUUCUCACAGGGCUAUUUCAUUAUUUUCAUGCUUCAACUGGGGGGCAAUAUAGGAUUUUCACUUGGUUAUUCUUGGUGGCUUCUUCGUAGUAAUACGUGUGCCCCAUCGCUGGCCAUAUCUUCAUCUUCUCAGCUUUUCCGGCAUUUUCUCAACUGUUUUUUUUCAUUUUCAGGACCAAUUGCUUCCUUUUAAUCAUGUCCAUGAGAUACUGUUGAACAGAUUAUCUCGGACUCAACUUAUGAAGUCAACUUGGAUCAAUUCUAAUGUCAGACACAUAACUCUGUCGUUUUGUCCUACGUAGAGAAGAACAAAUUCCUCCAGAAAGUAUUAUUAAGAGGAGUCCCAAAAAGAUCAAGCCACUAGCCUACGUGAGAAAAGGAUGCAAGCAAUAGUUGUUGCAAUUGGUUCUUCAAGUACGGAGGUAAAAGUUGACCCAAUCACACCAGUCAAAAAAAGUGUAAAAGGAAACGCCUUCAUUAUUUUUGUCACUUCUGCUUAUUGGAAAAGAAAAGAUUUUUUGGAUUCUCAGUUGGUGCAAGUUCUGGUACCAAUCAUCAAACCCUAGGAAGUUGGGAGGAUUUAGUAUCAUAGUUAAUGCCUAAUCGAUUAUUCAGGUUCUAAUGGGUAACGAAAUAUGCUUCUUUCUUUUAAGUUUCUUCCAACCUCUUUCAUUAUAUGAUGUUAAGCUUGAGGCUCUUGCAUAGCUCUGCCUGGAGCAGCACGUCCAGAUGCAGUAAAAUAUGCUUCAUUCAACAUAAGGUGUCCCUUUGAUCUCCAGCUCCAGUUCCUCCAUGAUCCUUCCCAUGGUUUCACUCUUUUCGUCACCUAUUACCCCCAUUUGCAUAAAGAUCAAUAAUUUUGUAAGAUUAAGUUUGGCCCUUCUUGUUAAAAGACCACUCCAUCUUUUUUUAAGUACUCACAGUAUUAUGUUCGAGUUUUAUUUUUUUUCGAAAAGAUUUGUCCGAGUUAUUUGGUUGUACUAAGUUGUUGACACCUCUUUGGCAAAAGGAUUCACUGGUGCAAGAUAUCUGUUACCCUGGCUUUUAAUUGUAGAAACAGUAGUACCACCUAUGGCAUACAUCUCUCAGUGUGUGUUGUCAUUGUUCAGCACAUGGAAAUAGUCAUGCCUAAAUCUGCAUAAUAAUCAUGAUUUAUGCAUCAAAAUAAUAAGUGUUUUUAGUUAGUUAAGAUUCAGCCGUAAUUAUUCAAGAGUUUCAAAUUAUCUCAAAUUGAAAUUGAAAAUUCUUGCAAACAAAAAACUGUGUUAGUAUAUAUGAUUUAGUUGUAUGGAUGGUUUAAUUGAAAGCUUUGUAUAUGAUGCUACAGUGUGGCAGUAACAUGGAUACCUUGACUUCUGAAGGUGGAAGUAAACUCAAGAUGCUUAUUAGCUAUGUUGUGUGCGAGCUUCGGUUAGCAUCGUUAUAACACUUAUAAACUCGUGUGCUAAUUGUGAUGUAUAUCAUUUUUUCCCUUGCACUAUUAGAACGAUCUCAAUAUUUGUCAUAAAACCAAUGUAUGUUCUUCACUUGGAUUAUUAGGCCCACGCUGGCGCGGGUUCUUUCAUUUAGUA